CCGUUUCAUUAGUCGCUCAUAAAUCCCGCCCCUCCCUCUGUGCCUGCCUUCAGCUUUCGGAACUAAUUCCGCAAUUCAGUCUACCUGUUCCUGAUCAGGAGGAUCUGCUCACUUCUGGAGAGACCACUGGCAGGCUGUGUAAAUGUCGGCACGGCGUCCCGGCUGAUUCCUGACAGGUGAUGAAUUGGCACCGGGUUUAGGCAGAUCAGCUCCGAUCAGCUCCGAUCAGCUCAGUGGAGUGGAGUGGAAGGGUGGAGAGGAGAAGCGAGCUCGUGCUCUCGCAGACUCUCUGGCGCCAGGCGCGUGACGUCACUCAUUGAGCGCGGCCCAUGCUUCGCGGCGCCGCUCGGGCGGCUGCUAUGGAGACGAAAAGGGGGCCCGCGGGUUCGCGCGCGGGCGCGCGCGCGCGCCGACAUCGCUGAGAGAUCCGAGCUGAUCGCCGACACCUCGGAGUCGGGUCUCGCGCUCCGGGGCCCGCACACCUGCACACAUCUGCAUGACCUCGUCAUCCACUCAGAGUUGUGCAAGAACCCAAAAAAAAAGAGGCUGCAUUGAAGAAAAAACAAACAGGUGAUCGCAUACCAAGGAACCUGCAUAUAAUUAGAACCUAACCCCUUGGGUUCAUAUAUAAAUCUAUCCCAUAAUAUCCAAUACCUCGAUUGAUCACCCGUAUGUUUUAUAAUGGAUAAUUAAAAAUGUGUGCAUUUUC